UACGUAGGGUGCAAGCGUUAAUCGGAAUUACUGGGCGUAAAGCGUGCGCAGGCGGUUUUGUAAGUCUGUUGUGAAAUCCCCGGGCUCAACCUGGGAAUGGCAAUGGAGACUGCAAGGCUAGAGUUUGGCAGAGGGGGGUAGAAUUCCAUGUGUAGCAGUGAAAUGCGUAGAUAUGUGGAGGAACACCGAUGGCGAAGGCAGCCCCCUGGGUCAAAACUGACGCUCAUGCACGAAAGCGUGGGGAGCAAACAGG
rnacentral:rRNA from 1 species